rnacentral:lncRNA from 1 species
GAAGAUUCUAGAGAAGACAAAACAACCCAAAGAAAAGAAGUAUGGAAGGCAGGGGUAGCAAGGCGGAGCUGUGCCCUGUCACGGCACGCAGAGAAUGCCCAUGGAUUUUCACAAAUGCUGUUAAAAUGUGAAAAGCAGGUGUUUCUUUUUUCUUCAAUCUGAGCUUCAAGCUAAUAUGGGCAUUCAGCUAAAUCCCUCCUGGGUCCUGAAACAGUAUGUGGUUUUGGAUUUCAAAGAUAAUCCCUACAACUUCUGGGAGAGGUGCAAGUAUCAACCAGUUGGAGACACAGGGAAAGGGUGAUAUAAUGCAGAAAGUGACUUGAACAAAUUUACACAGAAGGCAGUGAAGUGUGAUUCAAAUUCAAGCAGUCUAGACUGUGCCCCACACAACUCUGCAGCAUAACCUUGCAGUAUGAAAAUAAUGCCUCUCAUGCAGAUCAGGGAUAUGAGAUCCAGUGACUUACCCAAAGUUUCAAAGGAAAGAUGUAACAGAGCCAUCUCUGAACUUCUGCUCUUGGGAAUCUACACACUCUUUCCACUAGUUCUGACCUUAGCAGGUGUUUGACCCAGGACUUGCCCAACUUGGUUUCCAUUUGUAUAGAACUAAUGCCAAAUUUCAAAAGAAAAUAUUAUAUACCAUAAUCAAUAAAAACAAAAUAUCAAACAU